CACACACAGGCCUAUCAUGGGGAGGGAGGGAGGGAUUACAUUGGGAGUUAUACCUGAUGUAAAUGACGAGUUGAUGGGUGCUGACGAGUUGAUGGGUGCAGCACAGCAACAUGGCACAAGUAUACAUAUGUAACAAACCUGCACGUCAUGCCCAUGUACCCUAGAACUUAAAGUAUAAUAAUAAUAAAAAAAAAAGUGUCUGCCUAAAGGAUCUAUAUUUAUAUUAUGACUUCAGCAGCAGAAACAGGUGGCUGGCCUUUUUAUCCUCCUAACUUGAAUCUUUUUUCAAAUGUGCAUAUCUUUAUCACAUUUCUGAUUAUUAAAAAUAUAUAAUAAGUUUAUGGAAAAAUUGGAAAAGAAUAAGAAAUUAUCAAAACAAAAGUAAGAAGCACAAUCUAAAUUAUUACCUCCUUUUCUAAUUCACCCCAUUCCCUCCAAUCUGGUUUCAAGGAUUGAACUGCAAGAGAAAUGAUGGCUAUUGGUGGCUGAGGGGAGAUUGGAUGGAGGAGACUGCCACUUUUCUUUUCUUAUAGCUUAGAAAAGGAUAAGUAAUCCUCCCUUUCAGCACAACCACAAAAAAAGUAACAAUGGUUAAUACAACUUUGGGAAAAUGCAGCCCCUCCCUGGUAAUCAGAGAAAGACAAAUUCCGACCACAGGGAGAAGGGGCCACUUUUGACCUCUGGAAUUAGCAAAGACAAAAAUGAGUGACAGGGCCUGGUGUGGUGGGGGGUGGGAGGUUGGUAAGCCGGUCCACUUCUGCAGCGCUGCUGGUGGGAGGGGAAAGUGGGGACCAGAGAUGGGGGAAUGACAUAAUCCUCACGUGAUCAGGAGCUGACGUGAACCAAAGUCCUUAUAUUCCCGGGCUUCUUUCUCCUCUGGGUACCAGCUCCUUUCUGCCCUGCAGACAAGCGUGCCGUGCGUGCUUGUGGCCAAGGGAAGGAAGAGGUCCCAGGGUCUGUGUUCACACACAUCUGGGGGAAAGAAAAAGAGCAGGAAACUACCCCGCACAGGUCAGUAUGACAGAGGCACUUAGACUGAGAUCUCUGAGGGUAGGAGUCGGGAAGGGCAAAAGCUAGGCGAAAUUUGCGGCUUCGCAGUACAUCUCCUUUUCUGCUCCCCCUCUCCCGCCCAUUGGAGAGGCCAUUAGCCUUGUCUGCUGGGGAAAUGGUGGGUUCCUGAAGUGGGAGGGGAGAAAACGGGGAGACGAGAGGGUGGAGGGAGCUGUGGCUGACUUAUGAGGUCUGGACCUGUGGGGUAGGGAUGGGAAAGUAUCUUGCCUCAGAGAGAAACUGACAAUCCUGUUUCAAAAGUAACGAAGCAAUUUAUCUCUACAUUUUCUCUCUAGAGUU
rnacentral:lncRNA from 1 species